UACGUAGGGGGCUAGCGUUGUCCGGAAUCAUUGGGCGUAAAGCGCGCGUAGGCGGCCCGGUAAGUCCGCUGUAAAAGUCAAAGGCUCAACCUUUGAAUGUCAGUGGAUACUGCCGGGCUAGAGUCCGGAAGAGGCGAGUGGAACUCCUGGUGUAGCGGUGAAAUGCGCAGAUAUCAGGAGGAACACCAAUUGCGAAGGCAGCUCGCUGGGACGUUACUGACGCUGAGACGCGAAAGCGUGGGGAGCAAACAGG
rnacentral:rRNA from 1 species